UGACCCCGUGCGGGAGAGUCCUCCGAUCACCUCGGAGGCGCCGAAGGAGCAAAUCCUCCCCGGAAUCUCUCAGGCUCACGUACCGCACGGACGAG
rnacentral:ncRNA from 2 species